rnacentral:rRNA from 1 species
CGAACGCUGGCGGCGUGCUUAAUACAUGCAAGUCGAACGAGAAAGUUCCGCUUCGGCGGGGCGAGUACAGUGGCGAACGGGUGCGUAACACGUGGGUAACCUGCCUCGAAGUUGGGGAUAAGCCUUCAAAGGGGGUCUAAUACCCGAUAACGUCUCUGGAGGACAUCUUCCGGAGAUCAAAGGCGGCCUAUAUUUAUAAGCUCUCGCUUUGAGAUGGGCCCGCGGUCCAUUAGCUUGUUGGUGAGAUAAAAGCUCCCCAAGGCUACGAUGGAUAGCCAACCUGAGAGGGUGUACGGUCACACUGGGACUGAGAUACGGCCCAGACUCCUACGGGAGGCAGCAGUAGGGAAUAUUGCGCAAUGGGCGAAUGCCUGACGCAGCAACGCCGCGUGGGUGAUGAAGUUCUUCGGAACGUAAAACCCUGUCAGAGGGGAAGAAACUUUCCGGGGCAAAUAGCCCCGGAGACUGACGGUACCCUCAGAGGAAGCUCCGGCCAACUCCGUG